rnacentral:rRNA from 1 species
GACGAACGCUGGCGGCGUGCUUAACACAUGCAAGUCGAACGGAAAGGCCCUGCUUGCAGGGUACUCGAGUGGCGAACGGGUGAGUAACACGUGGGUUAUCUGCCCUGCACUUCGGGAUAAGCCUGGGAAACUGGGUCUAAUACCGGAUAGGAGCCAUUUUUAGUGUGAUGGUUGGAAAGUUUUUUCGGUGUAGGAUGAGCUCGCGGCCUAUCAGCUUGUUGGUGGGGUAAUGGCCUACCAAGGCGGCGACGGGUAGCCGGCCUGAGAGGGUGGACAGCCACACUGGGACUGAGAUACGGGCCAGACUCCUACGGGAGGCAGCAGUGGGGAAGAUUGCACAAUGGGCGCAAGCCUGAUGCAGCGACGCCGCGUGGGGGAUGACGGCCUUCGGGUUGUAAACUCCUUUCGCUAGGGACGAAGCUUUUUGUGACGGUACCUAGAUAAGAAGCACCGGCUAACUACGUG